rnacentral:rRNA from 1 species
CAGCAGCCGCGGGAAUACGUAGGUGGCAAGCGUUGUCCGGAAUUAUUGGGCGCAAAGGGCUCGCAGGCGGUUUCUUAAGUCUGAUGUGAAAGCCCCCGGCUCAACCGGGGAGGGUCAUUGGAAACUGGGAAACUUGAGUGCAGAAGAGGAGAGUGGAAUUCCACGUGUAGCGGUGAAAUGCGUAGAGAUGUGGAGGAACACCAGUGGCGAAGGCGACUCUCUGGUCUGUAACUGACGCUGAGGAGCGAAAGCGUGGGGAGCGAACAGGAUUAGAUACCCCUGUAGUCCCUGUCUCUUAUAC